rnacentral:rRNA from 1 species
GACGGAGGGUGCAAGCGUUGUUCGGAUUGACUGGGCGUAAAGGGCGUGUAGGCGGUAGGUUAUGUCGGGUGUGAAAGCCCGGGGCUCAGCUCCGGAAGUGCAUCCGAAACUGGCCCACUCGAGCGCGGUAGAGGAGGGUGGAAUUCCUGGUGUAGCGGUGAAAUGCGUAGAUAUCAGGAGGAACACCGGCGGCGAAGGCGGCCCUCUGGACCGUUGCUGACGCUGAGACGCGAAAGCGUGGGGAGCAAACAGG